AUAGGCGACCUCUCUCCAUGCUUCUGACAGCAUUUUAACAUCGUGUAUACCACAUUGUUACAGGUUUUUUUAUACUACAAAGUCUUUUAAGUAACUGGAAUUUUAUUCGGUAUUGUAUGAUUUUGUGUGGGUGUAACUGAAAUUUUUGUUGGGCUGGGUCAGGUCCACUAACUUAAUAGUGUCAACCCCUCGCAUUCAAGGGCUUUGGAAAAUGUUAAGAUUUAAAAAUUUGAAAUCUAGAUUUUGGAAAUUUGAAAAUGUAGAAACUUGAAAAUUCAUAAGUUCGAAUAUUGAAAGUUUGUAAACUUGAAAAUCUAAAUAUUUAAAAAUUCGAAAUUUCUCUGUUGCCAAUGUGCUAUUAAAAGCCCGUGAAAAAGAUUUGCUCAAUCGGCAAUAUAGCAACUAUCUACUAUAAUAGCUUAUAGACAUUGUAUUCUACAGUGGGCACUUGCUUCCUACUUAUUACCAUUGCUCUCCUAUUUCACAUAUACUCAGUGAUCAAAAUAUACGAAUAUCGAGAAAAGAUAAUGAUGCAGAAAGCAUACAAAACGAAAGACCACUAUAUAUCCAUACUUGGCAUUAGAAAUGCACAAUACGUAUGCGCAUUGUCCUUAGUUGCAUGAUCCAACCAAUCAGAGUUAGCAUGCGCAGAACGAAUCAAAAUUCAUCCGACGAGUAUGAUCUCUCGUGAAACUUAUAAUGGCAGUGGUAUUCAACUUUAAAAUUUAAUUCUUACAGAGCGACUCAUUAUAAAUACUAAGAAAUUUCGAAACAUAUUAAUUUUUUUUCUGUAUAGAAAUAUGAUAAUUAUUUUGUAUAUAGUCAAUUCAAUAUUAUAAUGUCUCGAUUGAAUUAUUUACAUGUAAAAAUCACAUAACUUUACUGUUGAUAUUCAAUGGAUUUCAAUGCGAAUACGAUGACAAGAGGAAAGGGCAUUUGGAAUGUUUGCAAACUGUUUGACUGAAAGGUUUUAGUCGCUUGCGAUAAAACUCGUUCACAUCGCUGACACAUCUGUACAUUGUACAAAUUGUAUAGACAGAUACUACAUAGUUUUUUUUUAGCUACAAAAAAAUGUAGGGUCAGAAAUUUCUAGGGAAUUUCUAAGGAAAUUUUAGGACAGUUCUUGACAGACUCUAGAUAGGUAGGUUAUGAGAGAACAGGACCUAGGAAUAUUCUAGGAAGAUUCUGAAGAGAGCCUAGGACUUUUGCUUAUUGUUAGUUCAUUCGUAAAUCGUUAUUAUGUACAUAGCCGCAUUUACAGAACGAUUCAUUAGUCAUAAUAAAAAGGUUUUUCUUUCGUUGUUGUUGCUGUUGCUUUUCUUUUUAAAUAACUAUUUUUAUUCGUAAUAUCUAAAUGUAAAUCUGUGUAUAAAUUAUUAUUAUGCGCACGGUACUCACGUUACGUGACUUUAUUAUCCCUCUUAUUUUUUUUUGUUCUUGUAUUUUCUUUUUUUACUCUAACGUCAAUGACGCAAUGACUGUAACCAUGAUUGUUCGCAGGUUUCUUACGACGGUACAAAACUAUCCUACCUAUGUACAAAAUGUACGAAACGUGCAAAGCGAACGAAACACCGAGUGGACCGUUUUGUGUCAUGCUAUUCGAUCACGUGCGUCGUUCGAUAAGUAGCCGACAGCUAUUGCUCCUCGUAUUCUCGCAUUAUUCCCGCGUGCAUUCUUUGCUCCGUUAAUUUGAAAUACUUUCAAUUAUAAAUUUCGUAAUGGGCAGAGAUGGUUACGUAAAUAUAUAAAACUGCAAUACUACUGUAUGAGUUGAUAUGUUUUCCUAGGAAGAGUGGAGGUGAAAGGAAAACUUUGUAAUUUUCUUGCUUAUAGAUAGCUAAUUUUCCAAUUUACAAACUUUCAAAUUUGAAGAAUUUGUCAUUUGGUAAAGUAAAGAUUUGCAGCUUUAGAAAUUUGAGAGUUUAGAAACUUUGGAAUGGUUGAGGUACGAGGACAGCGCUUGUCUAAUUAGCUGCUCGAUAAAUAACCGAUUUUUGGGGAAGCCUCGAAUUCGAUUACUUAUAGAACGACGUCUGUAUGUUUGCCUGUACGAUACUAUAAUACAACGUUUCGACAAUCGUUAUGUUAAUUGUUGUAAUUCUAUCGGCAAUACGUACAAACAGUUUCUUUAGCAUACAAACAGCUAUGUAUAUAAAAUCCCUUCAUGCCGAAAGGGUGAGCAAGUAUCCGUUAUUAAAUAUCGCGUAACACGUACGCGAGACACACGCAAACGUUUUUUUUUUUCACAGUCAUAAAAACAUUUCAUUUAUGGAAUAUACAAAACGACCUAUAUUACAAACCACCCGCUUAGAAAAAUAGAAGUAUUUUGCUUUGUUAGGUUUAACGUGUGCGAAAUCGAUAAAAACUUUGAUCCUCGUGUUCCCAAUCGAAACGGUCUGUUAAAACAUUAUAAACGCUCGUAGACAUCCCCUAACUAAUCAACAACGAUUUUAACAACGCCGGCGACGAGGUUAAACAAUUCGAUUAACAAUUUAGCACUACAGAGAUUCGCGGUUUAAAUACAAAAACGCUCUAGUUUAUUCCGUAUGUAUUGUCACGUCCGAGUCCUCCCCCUCCUUUUUCUCUCACCAAUGUUUGAUAAUCAGCCAGUAAUACUGCGCAGUUUUAAAAUAUAAUAAUAGAUCUGCAUAAAGUACGGGGCGUGGCAUGAAGUGCGUAGCAUACGGGGGUACCAUAUGACUACCAUAUGAUUUGGGAAUUUAGGGAUUCAGAAAUUCGGCUAUUUUGCAAGUAACUAAUCAAGCAAUUGGGUUUCGCCCAAGAAACACAAGAACGUUACUUGCCAAGCCGCUCAUCUGGCCUGUUGCCAGUAUUCAAGAGCAUGAACAUAGCUUACCAAGCCACUUGCGGACUAGCUACUUGCCUAAUUUGAAUGGGUUACAAGUCUGGACUAUUGACACGUCUCACUGGAGUUUACAAACACAGGUCAAAUCAAUGUCAAUGUUCAAAGAGGUCUCUAAGGGCUAUACCUGUUACUUUGGAUGCGAAUGGCUUAAAAACCACAUGCUUCUAUUUAUGAAAAAAGGAAGACUAUUCUAGAUUCUAGAAUCUAGAUAAUUUUUACAUCAAAAAGAAAAAAAGAAAGAUUGAACAGCAGACUCGGACGUGGCAUCAUAACGUAAAGAUGUCCAAGGAAGCUUCUGGUUUCAUUCCGUGGUCAUUUUGUGACCACUGGAGAAUAUGUACCAUAGACAAGGUAUAAGAUGGAGUGCUACUACUGAUACUUGAUCUCUAAGAGUUUCCGUAUAACGUGUUAUAACUAUUGAACACGGGUACAAUUUGGAGCAGAGUGGACAGAGCUUUCUUGGACAUCUCUGAUACAACGCAUGUUUAACGACGCGAUAUGUCGAUAAUCACAGAUUCGACAUUGCCGACCGUGUUACAAAAAUGAAACGCGACCCCUUUGUUUAUCGUCAAUGCGAAUUCGUUGGCGGUUGUUGCGUACACUGUCAAGAACAGUGAUAAACAGAUGCCCGCUGAAGAGCGGCGAGCAUUUGCGUACAGCGCACGGGCAGCGAUAAUGUGUACGAGAAAUAAAACGAUAUUGAUUUUAUCUCCCCACUUUUGGCAACUAGACGACUACAGCAGACUAUUACAAUAGACUCUCGUUAUAUUGCCAUUUGCCUUUACAUGGACUUUCAUGUACACUAGUGUAGGUGAAAGUAUCCGUGGUAAUAUAACGCAAGUCAACUUUCAUCGAUGCUCCUUGAGUGCACGCAGCGCCCUCUUACAACUGUCUAUCACUAUUCUAAAACAUCUUACGUAGACGUUAAAGGCACAUCUGUUACUCGCAAGGCACGGAUGACGCUUCUUAUCGCUUUCAUGAAACCGAAAACUCUAAUGUCCUCGACAAUAUGAGUUUUCUUUGCUAUGCGUGACUCCGCGAUGCUUACGACAUAAUCGACAUAAAAGCCAGUCAGUGAUUAGUUAAUACGUAUCCCUCUUUUGUCCUAACUGAGUGGCUUUUGAGUCGAAUAUAUCGGACAGAUAACGUAUUUUAUGUACAAUGCUGAAUUACGGUUAGUUGUGUGUACCACUGCCAGAUAAAGAACCAUCGAAUUUGUUUAUUGACACUUUCCAAAGUUCGCGAGGAGCAUACUUUCAAAACGAAUUGGCAACGCUACAAUUCUAUAAAAUAAUAUAUUUAACAAAUGCUAUCAGUAAAAAAUUGAUAAAAGAUACAUAUAUACUUUUUUGGGGAAAAAAGAAGCAACUGUUCUUAAGGUGGUUGUAUCGCGACAACUAAGUUGGAAAGUUAGGACCUGAAUUGGAUUGUAAAGUACACAAUUUUUAAUAUAAAAUAGGUGAAAAUAUUUAUCUUUUUUCUAUCAUUUGAUACAAGCCAUUGAAGAGAAGCGUACAUGUUAUUUACAUUCAUUAACAGUUAAAUUUCAAAGAGCUUUUAUAAUAAAAUCUGUGAUACAACCACUUUAAGCUUCAAUUUCCAGAGUGAAAUAUUCUAUUUGCCUAAAGAUAUACAACUCGAUUCUCGCAUAACCUAAUUAUUUUCUCAUCACCGAAUAGUUUUGCGAAAUUAAACUCUCAUUGUAGACUGGUAAAUUUAAAAUCCUGUUUCUGUGGCGUUUAUGUAACUCAUGAUUGUGUGACAUGAAAAUAUGUGGGCAGUUCUAUUCACUCGCUCCAAUUAAGGUCACGAGUACAGCUGUAAUAAACCAUGAAUUUUCUAACACCUGAGGACCCUAACCGAAAGAAAAAACAGAGAAUCAAAGAUCUUUUAAAAUUACGUAACGAGAUAACGGUCAGUGGCAUUGUUACGUAAUCCUACUCCAAGACACACCGUUAGCUCCUCUUAUAUAAUUCCCUGUUUUUAUAUAAUCUUUGAGCGGCGCACGAGCGAUGACAGCAAAAACAUUUUGCGGUUCGCUAUCGUCUUGUGCAGCAUACUUGAAAAUUAUAUAAAUCGAAAAAUAUUUUUAACAAUAUCUAAUAGUGUCGAUGGUUGGAGGUUAGGAAGGGGGAGGAGAAUCGAUCAGGCAAUUUCACUCGGACCCCAAGUAGGUGAGAGUAGUUUUUACUUGUAGACAGAAAUGUUGCGGAAGGCCUCGCAAUUUCACCACGGUCAGUAAGAAAACAAUCAUUACUCGAUUACGAAUAUUGCAUCGUAACACGGGCCAAGAUUACCACGGUCGGUAAUGUAACUGUUGCAUCUUUAAAACAAAGUUUUUGUACACUCGGUUGCAACAUAGGCUUCCUUCGGAUAAGGAAGAGUGUAAAGGAAGGAGUGUUACCACUUGUUUGCUAAUUGAUUUGGCAGAUCAAACAUCGACGCUGUAUAAAAUCUGCAUUUAUAGAUGAACUACUUUAAGAAGUUCUAAUUAAUAAACAUGUCACAUAUGUACAUAAUAAAUGCAAUACAAAAGGUAUUUAUUUAAUAUGAUACAAAGUACCAUUCACUCUUCAAAUCUAUUUCUAUUGAAAACAGUGAAUGUGUACGUAAUUCAACAACAUUCCUAAAUUAAAAAAAUUGAUUUCGUUCACUCAGCGAACCUUCGUUCGCAGUUUGCGGCGAACGAAUUAAAACGAUUGGUAGUUCCUCGAUCCCUUACACCGCCACUUUCCCUAGCAAAACCCAGGAUGCUUCCCAGUAUAUCGAUACAAAGUUAUCGGAGGAGAAACGGAUGCAUUCAGUCUAUCGUUCAUCAUGGCAAUGCAAAGACGUAUGUUAUUGUACCAUAUUCGUAACAGCGGCUUGCCGACUCGAUGGAACCGAUUUAUCGGUAGAGGCAGGUGUACGCACAGCGAACCGAAGAGACACGUCACGGUUACUUGAAUCGCGACAACAGGAAUCCGUGACAUUGAGUCGCGACAUCCGGGUGUACCUUGGGUACAUUCUAUACGUACGUACGUAAAAUGUACAUACUGUAUGUUCUUACAGUGGAAGCGGAUGGUCGGUGAAUGUUCGCAUUCCGCAGUGAAAGCGUAUUUCCGUUACUGGUCGUUAGCGAGCCGAAGGUUGACAAAA